GAGAGAAGUUUACAACAACAAAGACUGCUAAUCUUUGCCCCCUUGGCUAAAUUCCAAGGUUCACUCA
rnacentral:tRNA from 1 species